UGAUUGGCUUUGAUUGGAAGAAUAGUGGGUAGACCUCAACGCUAAAUGCCUUGAGGUCUACCCACUAUCCUUCCGAUCGAAGCCAAUCA
rnacentral:pre_miRNA from 1 species